CAAGUAAGCCCAAUAUCAAUAGGACUACUUGUCUUGAGAAUAAGGUUAGAAGCAUAUUGGCCAUGAAGCUGCUGAAAACCCUAGUGGUGUUUGUCCUACUCAUGGCUUCAACCAUGGCUGCCAGAGAAGGCAUGUAUGAUGACGACAGGGCAACCGUUCCACAUCAUGGUUUGUUGGAGACUUCAAUGGCAGGAACUGGUACAGAAUCGAAAACGAAUUGCUGGCCAGAAACUGGUAUCCACUUCUCUACUCCAAUGCCUAAGCCAAACAACCCUAAGAAGCCAUGAAUAUAACCAAUGAUCAGAUCAUGGAGUGGUGCAUAUUUUAUAUAGUUGAAUAAGAUGAAGCUUGCUGAAUCCUAUAUAUCUGAUGUGUGAGGUUUUUAUGAGUUGCGCUUCUCUCUCUCUCUCUCUCUAUAUAUAUAUGUGCAAAGCUAGUGUGUUGAAUAAGAUGCGGCCAGCCUCUGUAUGCUGCUUUUCGCAUCCAUGCAUGUAUGCAUGCAUGGCCUUCUCUCUCACUCUAUCUUUUCUCAAAAUCUAUCAAGAGUACUUGACCUUUCAUGAAUAAAUAUCUGUGUUGUGCUUG